rnacentral:misc_RNA from 1 species
AACCAUAGAAACCUGCGGAGUACCUGCGGAAGGAUCAUUACAGAGUUGCAAAACUCCCUAAACCAUUGUGAACGUUACCUAAACCGUUGCUUCGGCGGGCGGCCCGGGUCCUUCCCGGCGCCCCUCGGCCCUCGCGGGCGCCCGCCGGAGGUAAACCAAACUAUUGCAUUGUAUGGCCUCUCUGAGUCUUCUGUACUGAAUAAGUCAAAACUUUCAACAACGGAUCUCAGAUCGGAAGAG